CGGCCUCUAGCACAACGGUUAGUGCCCCAGCCUUAUAAGCUGGCGAUGUUGGUUCGACUCCAGCGAGGCCGA
rnacentral:tRNA from 2 species